AGUCGAGGGGUAUAGUAGCAAUACUAGAGACCGGCGCACGGGUGCGUAACGCGUAUGCAAUCUACCUUUUGCAGAGGGAUAGCCCAGAGAAAUUUGGAUUAAUACCUCAUAGUAUAACGACUCGGCAUCGAGAUGUUAUUAAAGUCACAACGGCAAAAGAUGAGCAUGCGUCCCAUUAGUUAGUUGGUAAGGUAACGGCUUACCAAGACUACGAUGGGUAGGGGUCCUGAGAGGGAGAUCCCCCACACUGGUACUGAGACGCGGACCAGACUCCUACGGGAGGCAGCAGUGAGGAAUAUUGGACAAUGGGCGCAAGCCUGAUCCAGCCAUGCCGCGUGCAGGAUGACGGUCCUAUGGAUUGUAAACUGCUUUUGCACAGGAAGAAACAACGCUACGUGUAGCGUCUUGACGGUACUGUGAGAAUAAGGAUCGGCUAACUCCGUGCCAGCAGCCGCGGUAAUACGGAGGAUCCAAGCGUUAUCCGGAAUCAUUGGGUUUAAAGGGUCCGUAGGCGGUCUUAUAAGUCAGUGGUGAAAUCUCCCCGCUCAACGGGGAAACGGCCAUUGAUACUGUAGGACUUGAAUUAUUAGGAAGUAACUAGAAUAUGUAGUGUAGCGGUGAAAUGCUUAGAGAUUACAUGGAAUACCAAUUGCGAAGGCAGGUUACUACUAAUGGAUUGACGCUGAUGGACGAAAGCGUGGGUAGCGAACAGGAUUAGAUACCCUGGUAGUCCACGCCGUAAACGAUGGAUACUAGCUGUUGGGCGCAAGUUCAGUGGCUAAGCGAAAGUGAUAAGUAUCCCACCUGGG
rnacentral:rRNA from 1 species